CUAACUGCAGUCGACGGAAGGCCCAGCUUGCUGGGUACUCGAGUGGCGAACGGGUGAGUAACACGUGGGUGAUCUGCCCUGCACUCUGGGAUAAGCCUGGGAAACUGGGUCUAAUACCGGAUAUGACCAACUGUCGCAUGGUGGUUGGUGGAAAGCUUUUGCGGUGUGGGAUGGGCCCGCGGCCUAUCAGCUUGUUGGUGGGGUAAUGGCCUACCAAGGCGACGACGGGUAGCCGACCUGAGAGGGUGAUCGGCCACACUGGGACUGAGACACGGCCCAGACUCCUACGGGAGGCAGCAGUGGGGAAUAUUGCACAAUGGGCGCAAGCCUGAUGCAGCGACGCCGCGUGAGGGAUGACGGCCUUCGGGUUGUAAACCUCUUUCACCAGGGACGAAGCGUGAGUGACGGUACCUGGAGAAGAAGCACCGGCCAACUACGUGCCAGCAGCCGCGGUAAUACGUAGGGUGCGAGCGUUGUCCGGAAUUACUGGGCGUAAAGAGCUCGUAGGCGGUUUGUCGCGUCGUCUGUGAAAUUCUGCAACUCAAUUGCAGGCGUGCAGGCGAUACGGGCAGACUUGAGUACUACAGGGGAGACUGGAAUUCCUGGUGUAGCGGUGAAAUGCGCAGAUAUCAGGAGGAACACCGGUGGCGAAGGCGGGUCUCUGGGUAGUAACUGACGCUGAGGACGAAAGCUGGGGGGCCCCCCCCAAAGAAGAAGAAA
rnacentral:rRNA from 1 species